rnacentral:rRNA from 1 species
GACGAACGCUGGCGGCGUGCUUAACACAUGCAAGUCGAACGGAAAGGCCCUGCUUUUGUGGGGUGCUCGAGUGGCGAACGGGUGAGUAACACGUGAGUAACCUGCCCUUGACUUUGGGAUAACUUCAGGAAACUGGGGCUAAUACCGGAUAGGAUCUCCUGCUGCAUGGUGGGGGUUGGAAAGUUUCGGCGGUUGGGGAUGGACUCGCGGCUUAUCAGCUUGUUGGUGGGGUAGUGGCUUACCAAGGCUUUGACGGGUAGCCGGCCUGGGAGGGUGACCGGCCACAUUGGGACUGAGAUACGGCCCAGACUAGUACGGGAGGCAGCAGGGGGGAAUAUUGCACAAUGGGGGGAAGCCUGAUGCAGCAGCGCCGCGUGCGGGAUGACGGCCUUCGGGUUGUAAACCGCUUUCGCCUGUGACGAAGCGUGAGUGACGGUAAUGGGUAAAGAAGCACCGGCUAACUACGUG